rnacentral:sRNA from 1 species
UACCAUGUUGUUCCCACGAUUAAGGGGGAU